AUUGAACGCUGGCGACAUGCCUUACACAUGCAAGUCGAACGGCAGCACGGGGCAACCUGGUGGCGAGUGGCGAACGGGUGAGUAAUGCAUCGGAACGUACCUUUCAGUGGGGGAUAACGUAGCGAAAGUUACGCUAAUACCGCAUAUUCUGUGAGCAGGAAAGCAGGGGGUCGCAAGACCUUGCGCUGAUUGAGCGGCCGAUGUCAGAUUAGCUAGUUGGUGAGGUAAAGGCUCACCAAGGCGACGAUCUGUAGCGGGUCUGAGAGGAUGAUCCGCCACACUGGAACUGAGACACGGUCCAGACUCCUACGGGAGGCAGCAGUGGGGAAUUUUGGACAAUGGGGGCAACCCUGAUCCAGCCAUGCCGCGUGAGUGAAGAAGGCCUUCGGGUUGUAAAGCCCUUUCGGCCGGGAAGAAAUCGCACGGGCUAAUACCCUGUGUGGAUGACGGUACCGGAAUAAGAAGCACCGGCUAACUACGUGCCAGCCGCCGCGGUAACAC
rnacentral:rRNA from 1 species